rnacentral:rRNA from 1 species
UACGAACUGUGCAAACGUUAUUCGGAAUCACUGGGCUUACAGGGUGCGUAGGCGGCCUGUCAAGUCGGGUGUGAAAGCCCCCGGCUCAACCGGGGAAUUGCGCCCUAAACUGUCGGGCUGGAGUGAGAUAGGGGUGUGUGGAACUUCCGGUGGAGCGGUGAAAUGUGUUGAUAUCGGAAGGAACGCCGGUGGCGAAAGCGACACACUGGAUCUUGUCUGACGCUGAGGCACGAAAGCCAGGGGAGCGAACGGG